rnacentral:rRNA from 1 species
UACGGGGGGGGCAAGCGUUGUUCGGAAUUACUGGGCGUAAAGGGCUCGUAGGUGGCCAACUAAGUCAGACGUGAAAUCCCCAGGCUUAACCUGGGAACUGCGUCUGAUACUGGAUGGCUUGAAUUCGGGAGAGGGAUGCAGAAUUCCAGGUGUAGCGGUGAAAUGCGUAGAUAUCUGGAGGAAUACCGGUGGCGAAGGCGGCAUCCUGGACCGACAUUGACGCUGAUGAGCGAAAGCUAGGGGAGCAAACAGG